UGGAUCAUUGAUGACCAAAAAAAAAAUCAUCUGGGAGUCCUCUGAGACAUCCAUGAAGACCACAACAUUGGGAGUCUGAGGUCCAC
ensembl:snoRNA LOC120093376 small nucleolar RNA SNORD113/SNORD114 family